AUUGAACGCUGGCGGCAGGCUUAACACAUGCAAGUCGAGCGGAGAUGAGGUGCUUGCACCUUAUCUUAGCGGCGGACGGGUGUGUAAUGCUUAGGAAUCUGCCUAUUAGUGGGGGACAACAUUCCGAAAGGAAUGCUAAUACCGCAUACGUCCUACGGGAGAAAGCAGGGGAUCUUCGGACCUUGCGCUAAUAGAUGAGCCUAAGUCGGAUUAGCUAGUUGGUGGGGUAAAGGCCUACCAAGGCGACGAUCUGUAGCGGGUCUGAGAGGAUGAGCCGCCACACUGGGACUGAGACACGGCCCAGACUCCUACGGGAGGCAGCAGUGGGGAAUAUUGGACAAUGGGGGGAACCCUGAUCCAGCCAUGCCGCGUGCGUGAAGAAGGCCUUAUGGUUGUAAAGCACUUUAAGCGAGGAGGAGGCUACUGAGACUAAUACUCUUGGAUAGUGGACGUUACUCGCAGAAUAAGCACCGGCUAACUCUGUGCCAGCCGCCGCAGUAACAC
rnacentral:rRNA from 1 species